AGAGUUUGAUCCUGGUUCAGAACGAACGCUGGCGGCGUGCUUAACACAUGCAAGUCGAACGCGAAAGGGACUUCGGUCCCGAGUAGAGUGGCGCACGGGUGAGUAACGCGUAAGUAAUCUACCCCUGUAUCUGGAAUAACCCACCGAAAGGUGAGCUAAUACCGGAUACGUUUAUCUUGAUGCGAAUGAUGAUAAAGAAAGGUGGCCUCUUCAUGGAAGCUACCGUACAGGGACGAGCUUGCGUUCCAUUAGCUGGUUGGUAGGGUAAUGGCCUGCCAAGGCGACGAUGGUUAGCGGGUCUGAGAGGAUGAUCCGCCACACUGGAACUGAAACACGGACCAGACUCCUACGGGAGGCAGCAGUGAGGAAUAUUGCGCAAUGGGGGCAACCCUGACGCAGCGACGCCGCGUGGACAAUGAAGGCCCUUGGGUCGUAAAAUCCUGUCAGAUGGAAAGAAAUGUACAGGUGUUAAUAUCGCCUGUAUUUGACGGUACCAUCAAAGGAAGCACCGGCUAACUCCUUGCCAGCAGCCGCGGUAAUAC
rnacentral:rRNA from 1 species